ensembl:lncRNA
CUGGUUUUGCCACUGCUUUUUUGUGGCUGUUUUAACAGAAAGGACACCCUUUGACUGCUUCAGGAAGCAUCUGACAGGCGUCUCCUUCCGCAGAACGCGCCUGGCCUCGGCUAUGCCGAGCUCAUAUGAUAAACGCCUUCCUGCCCUUGACCCAGGGUCUGCAGGGUCCCUGACGUCUCUGCACACCUUCCCAGGGCUACCUGGCUGGGAGCGCAUGUGUCCGGGUUCCGUUCCCCCCACGAGACAAAGAACGGCACCCGUGCUGUGCGGUUUCAAAAAUAUUUUAUUUUCUGGAAGAGCCAUAAUGUCUCAGCGCUGUGUCUUUACGGCUUCUCCCCACGCGGAGGGUGGGCCGAAGCGAUGUGGGGACGAGGAAGACGGAGGCGCCGUGCAUGACACCUGCGGGACAGGACGAUGGUGGCGUGGACGUGCGUGUAGAAAAGGCUCACCGGACGCGCACGGACAGGUAGGGCUGGGGGCCGGGGCGGCGGGCGCGGCCGGGUCCCCACUGCCGAGGCCAUUCAUCCAGUUCGACGCACCCCCCACGCCGCGGAGGCCCACCUGGGUCUUCCCUCGGGUGCCCCUCGACGGUUAAACCAAGCAGAAGGGCGACAACCCCAACAAACAGCCCCAAGUCCUCUGCGGCUGGCGCCCGGGGCGGGGCGGGGCGGGUCCCCCGCGUGACCCCGCGUGGACCGUGCCCGCUGCCUGGCUGAGCGUUCACGCAGAGCUAACACUAGCUUGGUUUCUCGAGUGUUCCAGAUCUCGCUGAUGCCGUGUGCAGGGUCUCCGAUCUGUAUUUCCUAGGAGUCUUCUUUGCUCCCGUCCCCGCCACAGACGGAUAAAAGGACUGGGGGGUAAGCUGCCAACAAGGACGGUGGGGAGUCCCCCGGGCGUGUUCCGAGGAGCGUCAGCUCUGCUCGCGGGAGGAAGCCGGAAAGCACUGGGCGUGGCUGUGUCAGUUUGAUGGGCACUGGGGUUUGCAUCGGAGAGUUCAGAGGGUCAGGCCGCAGGUGCACCUGCCUUAAGGAUGCUGUCAUCUGAAGGUGGCGUCCUCUAGCCGGGAACCACUGGGGAGCCCUGCUGGGUCCUCGACCCCCUGGGAGUCACAGUAUGCACUUGGGGAAGUCGGACGGUGACCUCGGGAGAGACCGAGCCAGGCGGGCGGGCAGAAAUGGCUGGGAUGGGACCCCAGGGAGGUAUGGAGGUGACAGAUGCCAGCAUGGCCCCGGAGGUGACACUGCCCAGGAGUCCUUACCGCCUGGUGAUGGCUUGGCAAGAUGAGGGAUGGGGAAUGGCCUUAAUCCUCAUAGGUGGUCAACCCCCUGGGCCCCCACAGUGCAGCUGGGAUGACAUGCCUGUCGGCCGGUCUCCGGGGUCUGGCUGGACGCUGACCUCUGGGGACCGGACCCUCCGCAUGGGAGUCUCAUCAGGCCACUGGCCCACGCAGGAGACGCUCUCCCGACGCCUUGGCUUGUACCUGGAGGACACGUGAACGGAUGUCUGCACGGCAACCGGAGCUUCUUGGGCCCUGAAGGGUUGUAAAGAGAAGGAGAGAAACAGCAGCGUAAGCGGUUAGUGGCCGAGAGCCCAGC